UGAUAACAGUUUUCUGAAUACUUGAAACCUGAAAACACUUCGGAGAAACCAAUAUGAAAAUAUAAAUAUCAUUAUAGAAAGGAUAAAUAGCAAAAUCGUUAACGGACUUACAGAUACAGUAAAAUGGCGAGUAAAACUAAAGACUGGCGGGCAGAACUAACAGCUUCAGGAUGUUUAAAACACAUUGUACAAGAAAAACUGUUCACAGACGUCACGUUUAUCUUCCCAAAUGGCAACGAGUCCUGCACUGGGCACAAGCUAAUACUCAGCAUGAGGAGUGCUGUUUUUGAAGCCAUGUUUUACGGCCCCAUGUCAAACGGCGAUGGCGAAGUUACAAUCAGCGAUAUCGAUAAGAAGACUUUCGAGAUGGUGCUGCGAUACGUGUGUACUGAUGAGCUUGGUGUAGAUGGAGAAACAGUAUUGAGUGUUUGUAUGCAGCAAAAAAGUACUGCAUCGACGGGAUGGUAAAGAUGUGCUCAGAUUUCUUAGAAGCGUCUGUUGCCGUUGAUAAUGCUUGCUCAAAUUAUGAGCACGCAAAAUUUUACGAACUGCAAGGGCUUCUUGAAAAAUGCAAAUCAAACGACAAACGCCUAAGAUAUACUAAAAAAUGAUGCUUUUUUUAGUCUAACGAAUCAAAGCCUUGCAGAGCUCCUUGCAAAUGGGCAACUCAAACCAAACGAGGCACUGUAUUUUGAUGCCGCCAACCGUUGGUCCGAACAUGAAUGUUUAAAAAGGGAUUUAGAGAUUUCUCUUAGAACAAGCAAAAGCUGCUAGGUCAAGCGCUGAAGGAAAUCAAAUUCGGACUGGUGACACCUCAAGAAUUUGCAGAGCAUGUUCCUGAGACUGGACUUUUAGAUAAAGAUGACCAAUUGGAUAUCUACAGGUGGAUAAUAACAAAAAACCUUCAUGGGUCGCAAGUAUGUGAUAAGUUUAAGUCAUUUCCGCGUCAAUCACAGACAUUGCCGAUAACCUUGAAUACAUCCAACUGUACCGAGGGAACAACGUUGCCAAAUGAAUCUCGGUUUACGAUUCAAAGCAAUCAACCCAUACGGAUAACAUCGAUAGCAAUGAAAACAUCGAGUUACCAAUUGUCAUCAGUAACGGUGAGCGAAUCUGAAGAGGAAGAACGGCCCAUACCACUCUCAAACAUCAACAUUCGAGUUUCGAACACAUACGAUUUCAAAGAAGCUGUAAAUGUAAAGGCAAACACAACCGUCACAUUCAAGUUCAAAUUCCAAAAGAAGAAAAUACACACAGAUUAUGGUAUUAUAACUAAAAAUGUGAGUCACAAACAUUAUCAUCCCAUUGAACCCGAGCAUGUCUUUGGUGGGCUGUUAGUGAAAUGCACCGACUUUUCAGAAUAUUUGUUAACGAUAAAAAUAAAGUGUUGUUGACAUUAUUUUCCGGAAAAAUGUUUCUUAUGUUCCAAGUUAUUAUGACUUUUUAUGUUUGUUGUUGUGCUAAACAGUCUUCAGAAAGCGUGCUUUCCAAACUAUGAACAUUGAAACUUAAUUGGAUUUAUGUACAUUUUAAUGAUAUAAAAUACUAAUAGUGAGUCUUAUAAAAUAAAUCGACGUUUUCCUUUGCAAUAAUACUCCGUGAUACAUUUUACAAAGUGACAUACGCUUACAGGGUGAAAUCAAAAGCAUAUUAUUGUAAUCACAUCAUUAAUUAACAUGAUUUGCUACUUAAGUCUGAAUUGAAAUUUGAGAGGGUGCGUUUUCAUUACCCCAGAUAGAUUUAAACCUCACUAUAAGUGCACAAAUAAAACAUGCCGUUGGAAUUUUCGUUAAGUAUUAUU